rnacentral:rRNA from 1 species
GAUGAACGCUGGCGGCGUGCCUAAUACAUGCAAGUCGAGCGAACGGACGAGAAGCUUGCUUCUCUGAUGUUAGCGGCGGACAGGUGAGUAACACGUGGAUAACCUACCUAUAAGACUGGGAUAACUUCGGGAAACCGGAGCUAAUACCGGAUAAUAUUUUGAACCGCAUGGUUCAAAAGUGAAAGACGGUCUUGAUGUCACUUAUAGAUGGAUCCGCGCUGCAUUAGCUAGUUGGUAAGGUAACGGCUUACCAAGGCAACGAUGCAUAGCCGACCUGAGAGGGUGAUCGGCCACACUGGAACUGAGACACGGUCCAGACUCCUACGGGAGGCAGCAGUAGGGAAUCUUCCGCAAUGGGCGAAAGCCUGACGGAGCAACGCCGCGUGAGUGAUGAAGGUCUUCGGAUCGUAAAACUCUGUUAUUAGGGAAGAACAUAUGUGUAAGUAACUGUGCACAUCUUGACGGUACCUAAUCAGAAAGCCACGGCUAACUACGUG